rnacentral:tmRNA from 1 species
CCGGUACUAAAUCCGAGUGACUCGCCGUUUCCGAGCGCGUCGGCCCGCGCGGAAGCGGUCAAAUCAAAUGGCCAGACUAAGUAUGUAGAACUGCCUGUAGAGGGCUUGCGGACGCGGGUUCGAUUCCCGCCACCUCCACCA